UACAGAGGUCUCAAGCGUUUGUUCGGAUUCAUUGGGCGUAAAGGGUGUGUAGGUGGCGCGCUAAGUCGGGUGUGAAAUUUCGGAGCUUAACUCCGAAACUGCAUUCGAUACUGGCGUGCUUGAGGACUGGAGAGGAGACUGGAAUUUACGGUGUAGCAGUGAAAUGCGUAGAUAUCGUAAGGAAGACCAGUGGCGAAGGCGGGUCUCUGGACAGUUCCUGACACUGAGACACGAAGGCCAGGGGAGCAAACGGG
rnacentral:rRNA from 1 species